UCUUAAAGGCGUAAGAAUUGUA
rnacentral:siRNA from 1 species